rnacentral:rRNA from 1 species
CCUACGGGAGGCUGCAGUGGGGAAUAUUGCGCAAUGGGCGAAAGCCUGACGCAGCGACGCCGCGUGAGGGAUGAAGGUCUUCGGAUCGUAAACCUCUGUCAGCAGGGAAGAACGGUCACUGUGCUAAUCAGCAGUGAAUUGACGGUACCUGCAAAGGAAGCACCGGCUAACUCCGUGCCAGCAGCCGCGGUAAUACGGAGGGUGCGAGCGUUAAUCGGAAUUACUGGGCGUAAAGCGCUCGUAGGCGGUAUGUCAAGUCAAGGGUGAAAUCCCCGCGCUUAACGUGGGAACUGCCUUUGAAACUGGCAAGCUGGAGUGUGUGAGAGGUUAGUGGAAUUCCAGGUGUAGGAGUGAAAUCCGUAGAUAUCUGGAGGAACAUCAGUGGCGAAGGCGACUUUCUGGCACGUAACUGACGCUGAGGAGCGAAAGCGUGGGUAGCAAACAGGAUUAGAUACCCUUGUAGUC